UCUGACGGAGAGAGCAGAACACCAUUCGCAACUUCCCAGCCAGAUCUUCACGCCCUGUCUCUGGCCGACUGUGUUCGUUCAGCAACGAGGCAGCUCUGUCUGGUAUGGAGUGCUGUCCACCACAAUGUGUCCUGCUGUAUCUGCUCAACAUGAGUCAUGGAGAUUCUGUCACUCAGUCACCUUCCUCAUAUGUUCAGAAAGCAGGAAAGGCUGUGGCUCUAAACUGCACCUAUGAUACUACAUCGAGCAGUUAUACAUUAUACUGGUACCGUCAGCACCCAGACACACCGCCUGAGUUUAUUCUGUGGCAAGAUACUGAUGGUGAUGAUGGUAAAGCAAGUUUUGUGCAAGAUCGUUUCUCUAUGCAACUUGAGACCUCGAAAAAAUUGACGAGUUUGGCUAUCGCUGGGCUACGGCUGACUGACACUGCCAUGUAUUACUGCGGUUUCAGUGACUACACGGUGAUGAGAAACUGUCUCACCCCAGUACAAAAACUUCCUUGAACCGCAGAUGGGCUCUGCGUCCGCUGGGGUUUACGUGAAUCCUGGGCUGCUGUAGUGUGCUAUCAGGAGCUCAAACUCACACCGAGAGGAAACCAAAUUAACCUCCGAUCAAACUUUCACGAAAUUGUUUUCCGGAGCUGCUGACAAAAUAAACUGCAGACUCCGAGCGCUCCCAUAGACACAAGACAGAAUCAUAUGUGAAGCCUCCUGUUCAAAUCCACACCCUCAACAAUCUGCUGUCGUGUGAUUUGCAGGCAGUAAACUGGGAAAAAGCUGCCCUUUUCCAAGUUUGACUUUCUCACAGCUGACAGGUGCAUCCAGAGACACGACAGCAGUUUACUGAGGGUGCGACUUUGGAAUGGGGGUUUCUGAAGAGGCUGAUUUGAAUGAAUUGAGGAAAAGGUGCAUUAAUCCUCUCAUAAUCGAGGUGAUCAUAUAGAACUCUAU